CUCUGUAUCUUAACUCUAUCUGCUAUUAUAAGCACUAUGCCGGCUGUGUGUCUGCCUUUGAGCACAGGUGAGAACUCGUUCGAUGCCCAGCUGUGAGAGCGGAAAGCGGCGCUGGAAACAUCCCGGGCGGACGCUCACUCUUCCCAGGUAAAUUCCCGGGUUGAACCUAACGCUCCCAGCACCUCAACUCCGCGUGUCUCUCUGCCCAGGUCCAGCGCACCUACAACACGGCCCGCCCAGGUAUUGUUCACUCCGGCACCGGUGCACCACGGACCCUGGAUGCUGCAGCAGCGGAAGACACGAGCCAAGCCCCGGUCGAGGACGUCUCCCCCGCCACCACCACCGGCCUUCGAGAUCUCGACCGAGAACCGCUUCGCCCCUCUCCGCGAGCCAAAACGUCAUACUGUGAUUCUUGGAGAUUCCAUCGUCCGGCAUGUCCACGCUACCGGAGACAAAGUAUUGGGUGACCUACGUUCCUGUGGUGGUGAACAUGACUGCGAGUUCUCCAGAAGAACAAAUGCUGCAACAUCCAUCUACCAAGAGGAAGAGGAAAACGAUCGUUGUCCGAGAUCCUAACCAGGACAGCAAGGACAUCAUGGAGGAGAUCAUAUCAGAAGCUGGCAGGAGUCGGAAGCCCACUCUGCCAGUGGGAAAUGUCUUUUCCGUCCCUAUGCCUCUGCAGCGUUAUGGGUUAGUCAAAGAAACCUAAAAAUGAGCAUCAGAAAAUAAAAAGCCUCGGUCUCCACACACGCAGUAAUACCGGAAGUAUGCAGUGGGAUCGAAUUUCGGGGGACGACGGCGGAACUGGAAGAACGGCUGCGAUGGAGAAACUAGCGCUAGAGCCACAUCCGGAGCAUCAGUAAAACUGGACGCAGUGCCAGACUCGACUACAAACAAGCCUGCGCUAUCAGAGGAGGAAAUGGAGAAACGCUCCAUACACAUUGGUUAUUAUCUUGUUACUGCGUCACAUAAUCGUGGUGGGUUCGUGUGCAGGAGGCCUCGCAUUGCGUGGAGGAACUGGACCAGGGCGGGAUGCUGUACGUUGUUGUUCGGAGCCAAAAGGAAGUGGAGGUCUUAUGGAGGACUCUAAACUGAGCUGGGCUGAUUUUCUUCCUGAAACCGUGGAUGGGAACAACUUCAUUACUGAGCAGCCCUGAUGAAGUCUGAUGAUCUGAAGAGGGUGGAACUGAGACUUCAGACAGCAGACGGACUUCUGAGGAGGAACAUCAGCACCACACGAGAGGUGAGAACUCGUUCGAUGCCCAGCUGCGAGAGCGAAAAGCGGCGCUGGAAACAUCCCGGGCGGACGCUCACUCAUCACAUGUAAAUUCCCGGGUUGAACCUAACGCUCCCAGCACCUCAACUCCGCGUGUUUCUCUGCCCAGGUCCAGCGCACCUAC